UUUAAUCAUCCAUAUUCAUGCUUAUAUAGCUCAACCAUAAGUAGAUUCAUGUGAUUAGAAGCUUACUCUUAUGAUUUUUGUGGAGAAAAAUAUAGCUCCACCUUCUUGACUCCAAGCUCAAACCCUCAACCAAGCUUUUGUUUUAAAGAUUUAUGGAUGUUUUUAGCUUGAUCUAAUAGGUGAUUAUGGUGUAGAAGUGGCUUGUGAAGCUUUUUACUUGCUCAUCAAUGGCGGUGGAUGAAGAAAGUUGGCAGAGAAGAGAGAGGGGGAGGACGGCUACUAUGGGGGAUGAAUGAGGAAUGAUAUAUUUUAUUUAAGUGCAAAUACUUAGCCUCCAAGCAAUAAUAUUAUAGUUUAAUCUUUUGUCUUAGCCACUUGCUUUCACUUCCAACAUGCUUAAAUUAUAUUAAAAUCAUGUAUCACAAUACUUAGUAUUAAUAAAUCAUGUACCACAAUUAUAUAGUAUAGUGUAGUAAAUAAAUAAAUUGAGGUACACUUCUCAUUAAUAAAGUCAUUACUCAAUCAUCAAAUAAUUGUGUGACUAAAAUAAAUUAUAAUGAUAAUAAUUAGUACACACAUAAUUCACUUCACAUCUAUCUCAGAAAAAUUAAUUCUGAGAAAAUUCAUUAGGAAAAAUUAUUACUCAAUUAAUAAUUAAUCUAUUCAUCGAUAAAACUCAAUCGAUCAUUUUGGAAAUUCAAAAUGAAUUCGUGUGCAAUCAAAUCAAGAAAAACAUAAUCACUCAAUCACAAUCACAUAUUCAACAAGUAGGUCACACAACAAUCAUUCAAGUAUUUUUACAUAAGCGAACUUAUUGAAAAACUAACGUCGGUGAAAAAUCUAACGUUAACUCAACCGUCUCUCUGUCUUAACUCUUCUCUAUAAUGACUCUCACUUACUCUAAUCGACUCUACUUCUAAUCGAGCAUCAUCAUAAAAUAUUAUCUCAUGGUGAUAUACUCACUAGCUCCAUCAUUAAAAAAAAUACUCCCUCCGUCCGCCAAAAGUAUGGCACAAUUACUAUAUUUGGCGUCCGCGAAAAGUAUUCCACUUUCCUUUUUAAGCCAUGGUCCCACCAUCCACCUUUAUAUUUUAUCCUUACAAACACUCUUUAUUUACAAAAAACCCACCCCAAAUUCAAUCUCCACCACACAUCUCAAAAAGUGGUGGGACCCUUUCUCCACUACAUCAACAUCAUCACCAAUUUUAUUAAUCUCCGUGCCCAGCCAAAGUGCCAUACUUUUGGCACGGAGGGAGUAAUAAUAACUCAAUCUAUUGGGAUAUUUCACUUCGUCAUAUGCUAUUGUUUAUACCUCAGUGCUCUUAAUGGUAAAUCUCAAAAUAUUUAUAAUGAGGAAAAUGCGGGGUGUUACAUCCUACCCCUUAAAAAAAAAUUCGUCCCGAAAUUUGCAUUAUUUACUUUCGGGAAAAAGCUCGGGGUACUUUUCUUUCAUCUUUUCCUCAAGUUCCCAAGUUGCUUCUUCUUGGCCGUGAUGUCUCCAUUGGAUCUUCACCAAAGCAAUUGAUUUGUUUCGCAACUGUUGUAUCUUCCUGUCCAGAAUAACUUCUGGUCUCUCCUCAUAGCUCAAGUCUGGUUCCAGGGAUACUUCUUCUUGGUGAAUACGUGUUUUGGUCAAACACUAUUUCCUCAGUUGAGAUACAUGAAAAACGUCGUGGACGUUCGCGAAGUUUGGUGGCAACGCAAGUCUGUAAGCAACGGGGCCUACUUUUCUAGUAUAUCAUACGGUCCUAUGUAUCUCGGUUUAAGCUUUCCUUUCAUUCCAAAUCGAUGCACUCCUCGAGACGGGGAAACUUUCAGAAAAACUUUAUUUCCCACAUCGAAAUGAAUCUCUGUUCUUCUGGUAUCUGCGUAGGACUUUUAGACGAUCUUGGGCCUCCUUGAUUCUCUGACGAAUCUGUCGCACGGUAGAAAUUAUUUCUUCUACUGCUUCAGGUCCAAGUACCUUUCUCUCUCCUACCUCGUCCCAAUAGAGCGGAGACCUACACUUCUUCCCAUACAAGGCUUCAUAUGGAGCCAUGUUAAUAGUUGACUGGAAACUAUUAUUAUACGCAAACUCAAUUAGGGGCAGAACUUGUUCCCAUUGGGUUCCUCUAUCUAGCACAACAGUUCAGAUCAUAUCUUCCAGAACUUGUAUAGUCCUUUCGGACUGUCCGUCUGUCUGAGGAUGAAAAGUUGUACUAAAGUUCAAUUUAGUACCCAACUCCUUCUGCAUGCUUAUCCAAAACCGUGAGGUAAAUUUGGAAUCUCUGUCGGAUGUGAUCGUCAUCGGUAUUCCAUGCAGUCGUACUAUCUCCCGAACAUAGAUCUGAGCUUGCUUGUCAGAUCCAUAAGUAAUUGGAAUAGGUAUAAAAUGGGCACUCUUCGUCAAUCUAACAACGACUACCCAAAUGGUUGUGUUUCCUCUUUUCGACUUUGGCAACCCAGUGACAAAGUCCAUACUUAUGAUCCCACUUCCACUCUGGAAUCUCUAACGGGUGUAGUUUGCCAUAGGUCGUUGGUGUAGUGCUUUUACUUGUUACAUGCUAAACAUCUUUCUACGAAAGAUGCUAUUUCUCUCUUCAUUCCUUCCCACCAAAACCUAGUUUUAGAUCUUGGUACGUGCUUCCUGGGUGUGCAGUGUAGGGAGUGUCAUGAGCUUCACUCAUAAUUUCAUUCUUCAACUCAUCCUUAUCAGGCACACACAAUCUUCUUUCGUAUAAGAUGACAUUGUUGCGCUUCUUGAUAACCUUCCAUUUUCUCGGUUCGAAUCUUCAUACGCAACUUCUCCAUCUUCUCAUCUUCUCGUUGCGCCGCGAUAAUCCUUAAUCGCAAAUCAGGUGUAAUACUCAACGUAGCAAUAACGAUCUCUGUCGUUUGUGGUGGUAAUAUUACUUCUAUUUUCAUCCUCUCAAAUUCUUUGAUCAAGUCCUUCUCUUGGGUAAGGAGAAAUCCCAAUUCUGCUUAAUUCUUUCUGCUCAAAGUGUCAGCUACAACAUUAGCCUUCUAGGGAUGUAAUUGAUUCCAAUCAUAAUCUUUUACUAACUCGAGCCAUCUUCUCUGUCGCAUAUUGAGAUUUUUUUGCUCAAAGAAAUAUUUGAGACUCUUGUGUCGUGUAUAUUCGCACGUACUCCAUAGAGAUGGUGUCUCCAUAUCUUCAAUGCGUGUACCACUCGUAAUUCUAAAUAUGCUCGGGUAAUUCAUCUGUGUGGUCUGAGUUGUCGUGAAGCAUAAGCUAUCACUUUCGUCUUGCAUAAGUACACAUCCUAGACCAUUUUUUACGCAUCCGUGUAGACAAUGUACUCUUUAUCUGCCUUUGGAACAGCUACCACUGGGGCAGUGGUGAGUCUCUUCUUCAAUUCCUGAAAACUUCGCUCACGUACGUUAGUCCACUCAUACUUGACAUCCUUCUUUAGCAGGUGCGUUAUUGGCUUAGCAAUUUUUGAAAAGCCCUCAAUGAAUCUUCGGUAAUAACCUGCUAACCCCAGAAAACUACGUAUUAGUUGGUGAUCUCCAUUCUUGUACAGCCUGCACUUUCGCUGGAUCUACCUCAAUUCCUCUUGUAGAAACGAUAUGGCCCAGAAAAUUGACUUCCUUAAGCCAAAACUCGCAUUUGCUAAACUUGGCGUAAAGUUUCUCAGCUCGCAACUUCUCUAACACGAUCCUUAGAUGUUCUUCAUGUUCUCGUUUACUUCUCGAGUAAAUCAAAAUAUCAUCGAUGAAGACUAACACGAACUUAUCUAAGUAUUCGUGAAAACUCGGUUCAUGAGUCAUGAACACAGCAGGGGCAUUCGUUAGUCCAAAGGCAUCACUAUAAACUCAUAGUGUCCAUAUCUUGUACGAAAUGCGUUUUCGGAAUAUCCUCGAUCGUAUUUUCAAUUGAUGGUAUCUGAUCUUAAAUCAAUCUUCAAAAAGUGUUCGCUCCCUGAAGUUGGUCAACAGGUCAUCAAUCGGGCAACAAUACUUUUCUUCAGCUCACCUUAUUCAGUCACGAUAAUCGAUGCAUAACCUCAAGCUGCCAUCUUUUUUCUUGACAAAAAGAACUGGUGCUCCCCACGGGAAACAUGGGUCGAAUGAAACCCAUUCCAUAAUUCUUGUAGUUGCACUUAACUCUUGUAACUCUGCCAGUGCCAUCCUAUAAGGUGCUUUUGACAUCGGUGCGGUUCUGAGCUCAAGGUCGAUCGUAAACUCAAGUUGUCGAUCUGGUGGUAAUCCUGGCAAAGCUUCAGAAAAACAUCUUUGUACUCCCGCACGACUGGCAUGUUGUCUAUGUUGCCUUGGAUUCCUCACUCUGGUUUAGGUAUACAACGUAAGAGUUGUAUCUUUCUUUGCAAAGCUUUUUGUCGAACGCUGAGAUGAUUGCGUCUUUCUCAUUUUCUCUCAAUGCCAUAAAAGAAGUAGGCUCUUGGCCGGGAGGUUGAAAUGAUAUUCGUCUCUCCUUGCAUUGUAUCGUCGCAUAGUUUUCCUCUAACCAAUCUAUUCCCAAUAUAAUGUCCAAAUGCCACAUAGGCUUACCCUCAGGUUUUAGCCUUAAGCUUAUUGAUCUAACUCAAAUUCUAAGUCAGGACACACGUGUGAAACCGUAGUAGUUGUGCCUAUGGGAGUGGUUACCCUUAGAUGUUGCGGAGCAGGUUCUACGUUUAGUUCCAAUGUAUCCACACACGGAAAGGAGAUAAAAGAAUGCGAUGCUCCAGUAUCGAACAAUAUUACUAUGGGUACUCCAUUUAACUCACCCAUACCUGCUAAAUUUUCUUGAUUCUCAUCCUUCGCUUUCUGAUCAAUGGCAAACACUCUCUGAUGAUGUUGCUAAUUUGCCUGCGGGGCUAGUGGUCGUCUUCCCGACUGAUGUGGUCGGUAAGCUUGCUGUUGGCGCUGUAGCGGCGACAAUGGUAGAUGUCCCUCCAUAGCCCUAAGAUGUGGCUGGAACUGAUUUGGUCGCCCUCCGCUUCCACUUUGCUGACGAUUGGGACAUUGAUUUGAAUAAUGUCCAGCCUUUCCACAGGUAUAACAGUUGUUCGUUCCAAUCUUGCAUUCUCCCAGAUGUAGCUUGUUACAUUUUGGACAAGGUGGUAUCCCUCGGGGUCCGUGUGGUGUUGCUGGGGCUACUGGAGGUCUAGCAUAAGGUCGCUUGUCUCUGCUUUGAAAAUGUGGUGGUGUAUUCUGAUGUUGCCAUGGCUUUUAAAAUUCUUGACUUCGGUCCUCCCAUUUCCUCUUACCUUUCUGUCCCUAUCCCGAAAAAGGUUGAUUUCCCCUUUGAGGGUUCGGGUUCGACUGGGGUACAGAAGUUUGACUCGUCUUUUCUGGCUACAUUGCUAGUUCCAUAUCCAGUGCUCGAUUUAAUGCUUCAUCAUAUGACAGCGCACUCUGACUAGCCAAGACAACUCGUAUCUCUUGCUUUAGUCCAGAGCAAAACAACUCUGACAUCUUCUCGUCCGUAUCUACUUGAUAUGGUGCAUAUCGAGCCAAAUCACAAAACAGACGAUCGUACUCAGAUUUAUAAAUUCUAUCUCCUUGCCCCAGAUUUAUAAAUUCUAUCUCCUUCUUCUUCCGAUAACUUCGCGGUAUAUACUUUUCACACAGAGCUAUCUUAAAUUGCUCCAAGUUAGAGCAGCCAUCUGUUCUGAGGAUUUAUAACUUCGCGGUAUAUACUGUUUUUUUCCUUGCCUCAGAUUUAUAAUUCAACUCAAACCCUCAACCAAGCUUUUGUUUUAAGGAUUUAUGGAUGUUUUUAGCUUGAUCUAAUAGGUGAUUAUGGUGUAGAAGUGGCUUGUGAAGCUUUUUACUUGCUCAACAAUGGUGGUGGAUGAAGAAUGUUGGGAGAGAAGAGGGCGGGGUACUAUGAGGAAAAAUAGGGAGAAGAAUUGUUCUUGUUUAUCUCAAUUGCUUAGCCUUCAAGCAUAUGAUAUAAUUGUUUAAUCUUGUGUCUUAGCCACUUGCUUUGACUCCCAACAUGCUUUAAUUAUAUUAAAAUCAUGUAUCACAAUACUUAGUAUUAAUAAAUCAUGUACCACAAUUAUAUAGUAUAGUGUAGUAAAUAAAUAAAUUGAGGUACACGUCUCAUUAA
rnacentral:lncRNA from 1 species